AGUGAACGCUGGCGGUAGGCCUAACACAUGCAAGUCGAACGGCAGCACAGUAAGAGCUUGCUCUUACGGGUGGCGAGUGGCGGACGGGUGAGGAAUACAUAGGAAUCUACUUUUUCGUGGGGGAUAACGUAGGGAAACUUACGCUAAUACCGCAUACGACCUACGGGUGAAGGCAGGGGAUCUUCGGACCUUGCGCGAUUGAAUGAGCCGAUUUCGGAUUAGCUAGUUGGCGGGGUAAAGGCCCACCAAGGCGACGAUCCGUAGCUGGUCUGAGAGGAUGAUCAGCCACACUGGAACUGAGACACGGUCCAGACUCCUACGGGAGGCAGCAGUGGGGAAUAUUGGACAAUGGGCGCAAGCCUGAUCCAGCCAUACCGCGUGGGUGAAGAAGGCCUUCGGGUUGUAAAGCCCUUUUGUUGGGAAAGAAAAGCAGCAGGUUAAUACCCCGCUGUUCUGACGGUACCCAAAGAAUAAGCACCGGCUAACUUCGUG
rnacentral:rRNA from 1 species